UACCCGUCUUAUUUUAGUUCUAAGACUUGGCAAUUGCCAGGUAUCAUCUUUUCGAUUUACCCAGGUCCACCGUCGAGGCCACAAGGGAGAUUUCUUCCAGAGAGAGGAUAGAGUUAUUAAGUCUAAAGUCCAUUAUUUGCUUUUGUCCUUCAGGAAAAGAUGGUCCUGACUCUGGGUGGAUCUAACAAGGAUCCUGGAACUCCAGUUCUGCUUUUUGGAUUUACCGGGAACUUCCCAGUCCAGACGAUUGGAAUUACAGCAUUAUACUUUGACUGGUAUGAUCUUCUGCUUUCGGUAACCAUCCUGUAACAACAAAGCCACUGCUUCG